rnacentral:rRNA from 1 species
AGUGAACGCUGGCGGUAGGCCUAACACAUGCAAGUCGAACGGCAGCACAGGAGAGCUUGCUCUCUGGGUGGCGAGUGGCGGACGGGUGAGGAAUACAUCGGAAUCUACUCUGUCGUGGGGGAUAACGUAGGGAAACUUACGCUAAUACCGCAUACGACCUACGGGUGAAAGCAGGGGACCUUCGGGCCUUGCGCGAUUGAAUGAGCCGAUGUCGGAUUAGCUAGUUGGCGGGGUAAAGGCCCACCAAGGCGAAGAUCCGUAGCUGGUCUGAGAGGAUGAUCAGCCACACUGGAACUGAGACACGGUCCAGACUCCUACGGGAGGCAGCAGUGGGGAAUAUUGGUCAAUGGGCGCAAGCCUGAUCCAGCCAUACCGCGUGGGUGAAGAAGGCCUUCGGGUUGUAAAGCCCUUUUGUUAGGAAAGAAAUCCAGCUGGCUAAUACCCGGUUGGGAUGACGGUACCUAAAGAAUAAGCACCGGCUAACUUCGUGCCAGCCGCCGCCGUAA